AUUGAACGCCGGCGGCAGGCCUAACACAUGCAAGUCGAACGGUAACAGGAAACAGCUUGCUGUUUCGCUGACGAGUGGCGGACGGGUGUGUAAUGUCUGGGACACUGCCUGAUGGAGGGGGAUAACUACUGGAAACGGUAGCUAAUACCGCAUAACGUCGCAAGACCAAAGAGGGGGACCUUCGGGCCUCUUGCCAUCGGAUGUGCCCAGAUGGGAUUAGCUAGUAGGUGGGGUAACGGCUCACCUAGGCGACGAUCCCUAGCUGGUCUGAGAGGAUGACCAGCCACACUGGAACUGAGGCACGGUCCAGACUCCUACGGGAGGCAGCAGGGGGGAAUAUUGCACAAUGGGCGCAAGCCUGAUGCAGCCAUGCCGCGUGUAUGAAGAAGGCCUUCGGAUUGUAAAGUACUUUCAGCGGGGAGGAAGGGAGUAAAGUUAAUACCUGCACAUAUUGACGUUACCCGCAGAAGAAGCACCGGCUAACUCCGUG
rnacentral:rRNA from 1 species